rnacentral:rRNA from 1 species
GCGUUGUCCGGAAUUAUUGGGCGUAAAGGGCUCGUAGGCGGUUUGUCGCGUCGGGAGUGAAAUCCACUGGCUUAACUGGUGGCUUGCUUUCGAUACGGGCAGACUGGAGGUAUGCAGGGGAGAACGGAAUUCCUGGUGUAGCGGUGAAAUGCGCAGAUAUCAGGAGGAACACCGAUUGCGAAGGCAGCUCGCUGGGACGUCACUGACGCUGAGACGCGAAAGCGUGGGGAGCAAACAGG